CCCCUAGAUGUUCUGGGCCGCACGCGCGCUACACUGAACAGUUCAACAAGUCUUAACCUUGGCCGAUAGGUCUGGGUAAUCUUUGAACGCUGUUCGUGAUUGGGAUAGACCUUUGCAAUUAUGGGUCUUCAACGAGGAAUUCCUAGUAAACGCAAGUCAUCAGCUUGCAUUGAUUACGUCCCUGCCCUUUGUACACACCGCCCGUCGCACCUACCGAUUGAAUGGUCCGGUGAAUCUUUCGGACUGCGCGCGGCCUCGUGCCGUGUCGCGGAAAGUCAGGUAAACCUUAUCACUUAGAGGAAGGAGAAGUCGUAACA
rnacentral:rRNA from 1 species